rnacentral:rRNA from 1 species
GUGACUGCGGAGGUCAUUG